rnacentral:tRNA from 1 species
AAGGUGUUAGUCCAAUCAAGACAACUGAUUUCGGCUCAGUAAAUUAUGGUUAAACCCCAUAACACCUCU